UGCUUGUUUGAACCGCAUGGUUCAAACAUAAAAGGUGGCUUCGGCUACCACUUACAGAUGGACCCGCGGCGCAUUAGCUAGUUGGUGAGGUAACGGCUCACCAAGGCGACGAUGCGUAGCCGACCUGAGAGGGUGAUCGGCCACACUGGGACUGAGACACGGCCCAGACUCCUACGGGAGGCAGCAGUAGGGAAUCUUCCGCAAUGGACGAAAGUCUGACGGAGCAACGCCGCGUGAGUGAUGAAGGUUUUCGGAUCGUAAAGCUCUGUUGUUAGGGAAGAACAAGUACCGUUCGAAUAGGGCGGUACCUUGACGGUACCUAACCAGAAAGCCACGGCUAACUACGUGCCAGCAGCCGCGGUAAUACGUAGGUGGCAAGCGUUGUCCGGAAUUAUUGGGCGUAAAGGGCUCGCAGGCGGUUUCUUAAGUCUGAUGUGAAAGCCCCCGGCUCAACCGGGGAGGGUCAUUGGAAACUGGGGAACUUGAGUGCAGAAGAGGAGAGUGGAAUUCCACGUGUAGCGGUGAAAUGCGUAGAGAUGUGGAGGAACACCAGUGGCGAAGGCGACUCUCUGGUCUGUAACUGACGCUGAGGAGCGAAAGCGUGGGGAGCGAACAGGAUUAGAUACCCUGGUAGUCCACGCCGUAAACGAUGAGUGCUAAGUGUUAGGGGGUUUCCGCCCCUUAGUGCUGCAGCUAACGCAUUAAGCACUCCGCCUGGGGAGUACGGUCGCAAGACUGAAACUCAAAGGAAUUGACGGGGGCCCGCACAAGCGGUGGAGCAUGUGGUUUAAUUCGAAGCAACGCGAAGAACCUUACCAGGUCUUGACAUCCUCUGACAAUCCUAGAGAUAGGACGUCCCCUUCGGGGGCAGAGUGACAGGUGGUGCAUGGUUGUCGUCAGCUCGUGUCGUGAGAUGUUGGGUUAAGUCCCGCAACGAGCGCAACCCUUGAUCUUAGUUGCCAGCAUUCAGUUGGGCACUCUAAGGUGACUGCCGGUGACAAACCGGAGGAAGGUGGGGAUGACGUCAAAUCAUCAUGCCCCUUAUGACCUGGGCUACACACGUGCUACAAUGGACAGAACAAAGGGCAGCGAAACCGCGAGGUUAAGCCAAUCCCACAAAUCUGUUCUCAGUUCGGAUCGCAGU
rnacentral:rRNA from 1 species